rnacentral:rRNA from 1 species
UACGUAGGGUGCGAGCGUUGUCCGGAAUUACUGGGCGUAAAGAGCUCGUAGGUGGUUUGUCGCGUUGUUCGUGAAAACUCACAGCUUAACUGUGGGCGUGCGGGCGAUACGGGCAGACUGGAGUACGGCAGGGGAGACUGGAAUUCCUGGUGUAGCGGUGAAAUGCGCAGAUAUCAGGAGGAACACCGGUGGCGAAGGCGGGACUCUGGGCCGAUACUGACGCUGAGGAGCGAAAGCGUGGGGAGCAAACGGG